rnacentral:snoRNA from 1 species
UAUAUUUUCCUUAUAGUUAGUCUUAUUAACUGGACAAAGACUUACAGACAAGUGUGAAAGUAAAUCCUCUUUUGCAACCCACAACUCAUUGUUCAGUAUGAGUUUUGAUACAGAUAAGAAGGAACAUG